rnacentral:rRNA from 1 species
AUUGAACGCUGGCGGCAGGCCUAACACAUGCAAGUCGAACGGAGCGGGGGACGCGUGAGUAAUGCCUAUGAAUCUGCAUGGUAGUGGGGGAGAACGACCGGUAAUGGGCGCUAAUACCGCAUACUAUCACAUGAGCCUAGGGCGGAGUAGCUAGUUGGUGGGGUAAAGGCCUACCAAGGCGACGAUGCGUAUCUGGUCUGAGAGGAUGAUCAGUCACACUGGGACUGGGGCACGGUCCAGAAUCCUACGGGAGGCAGCAGUGGGGAAUAUUGGACAAUGGGCGAAAGCCUGAUCCAGCCAUGCCGCGUGUGUGAAGAAGGUCUUCGGAUUGUAAAGCACUUUAAGUUGGGAGGCGUUACCAACAGAAUAAGCACCGGCUAACUUCGUGCCAGCAGCCGCGGUAAUAC